CAGAUUCAUAUGUUGGAGUCCUGACCUCAGAAUGUGGCUGUAUUUGGAGAGAGCUCUUGGGGUUUUUUUUUUUUUUUCAGCUUUAUUGAGAUAUAAUUGACAUAGGACAUUGUGACAAUUUAAGACAUACAACAUGCAAAUUGAAUACAUUUAUGUAUCGCAGUACGAUUACCAUCACAGCGCUAACCUUCAUCACAUCGCGUAACUACCGUUCCUUUUUUGUGCUGAGAACGUUUGAGGUCUACUCUCUUAGCAACUUGGAAGCAUAGAAUGAAGUAUUGUUAGCUGGAAUCACAAUGCUGUGCAUUCGAUCCUCAGAAGGUGUUCGUUCACCUUCCGAGUGGGAGCUGGUGCCCUUUUACCCGUCUCCCCACUUCCCCCACCCCCAGCUCCUGGUAACCAUCAUUCUGCCCUCCAUUUCUACGAGUUUGGCUUUUUUAGAUCCUGUGCAUGAGACGUGACAUGCAGUAUUCGUCAUUCUCCGUCUGAUGUAUUUCGCAUAGCAUUAUGCCCACAGAGGUCCACUCCCGGGUGCCCGCAGCAUUUUUCACCGUAACCCAGCUAUGGAAACGCCCCAGGUGCCUGUCAGCGGGCGAAUGCAUAAAGCAGAUGUGGUAUAAAUAUACAAUGGCGUGUUAUUCGGCCACAAAGUGAAGGAAAUCCUGCCGCUUGGGACAUCACAAAGAUAAGGUCCUUACAGAGAUAAAGGAAGCCGGAUAGGCUUCACUCAGCCAGCAAGCCGGUGGGGGAGACAAAGAAGGUGACAUCGGAGUCCUAAUCCUCCUGCCCAGUGCCUGGGCCGUCUGAAUAGGAGAUGCUGGGAAAUCAGGAAACCUGACUUUAAGUCCUGGCUCUGAUUAAGCCCUGAAUUACCGUCCAUCAGCACUGUGGUCCAUCAGCCGGGUCCAGGAUCGCUGCUGAGGGCUGGACGCUCGCCUCCUCCCUGCCCUUCUCCGUGACGCACACACCCCCCUCAAAAUGACAUGCCGUGGUGCGCACGUUCAGCAAACAAAUGUGACUGUCUUUCUUGCCUGGUUGAUCCCAUAAUCAGUGGUCACGGGGAACUUGGGCUCCCCAGCAAGCCCACCAGUCACGGUUGGCUCCGUCUGACCCGCUCCUCGGGGCUUGGCCCGGCUCUUUCUGGAGCUCGCUCCGUCUGCCCAGGAGAUGUCUACACGUCCCCAGAUAACGGAAGGCCCCAGCUGAAGAGGGACAAGGUCACACCAAAGCAGGCAAGAAGCACAAGUGUAUUAACAUGACUUCAAAACUAUGUUCUCCUGUAAUUUAGAAAAGGAUCGCAUUCUUCAGAGGGUUCAAAAAGCCUGGCACAGAGAAGAUCUAGAAGUUUUGCAGGUGAAAGAACCCGCAUUUCAUGAAUUUACACACGUGAAGAGGAUACGAACCCAGAUCACAGGACACUGCCUGUGGUCUCUAAAUACUUGUGUUUUUUGAGAAAGAACACAUUCCGUGAAAAUAUUGUUUACCACCGUUGGCACUUUAUGUUAUGUUUCAUUGCCAAAUUACUUCUCACAACAGUCGUAAUUCUCCAUAUACCAAAGGGAAGAGGGAGCUAGUUUUUUUUUUUUUAAUUUUUUUUAACGUUUAUUUAUUUUUGAGAAAGAGAGAGAUUUUUCUCUCUGAGGGGGAGGGGCAGAGAGAGAGGGAGACCCAGAAUCCCAAGCAGGCUCCAGGCUCCGAGCCGUCAGCACAGAGCCCGACGGGGGGCUCGAACUCACCAACCAUGAGAUCGUGACCAGAGCCGAAGUCGGACGCUUAACCGACUGAGCCACCCAGGCGACCCCCUUUUAUUCAAUUUUUUUUUAAGGAGGGAGUUAGUUUUAAUGGUUGAGAAAGGACAACAUUGGCGUUGACCGUACUGGUUGUAACAGGGCUGGUGGCUCCAGAAUCCCGACACGGUGACAAGAUGGUCGGCUCCCCUCGAUCCCCGACUGCCCGAGGUGCCCCACGGGGCCACGGGUCACCCACCCGGCCUUCUUUGCAAGACUGCUGAUCAGCAAGGGGGGCAGUCUCUCCACAUCUUCCUUCCUUCCUCACUUCCACCUCGGUGUCUCGGGUCAGUCAGAGAUAACAUCUACUCAAGAUCGAUACAUAGGAAAUACUAUCAUUAGCUCUGUGAAUCUCAUGGGGCAGGAAAUUUCAUCCUGUCUCAUGGAAACUGUGAGAUACCGUCUAUUGCUUUAAGCUGCUAAAUUUGUAGCAACUUUCCUUUUUGUUGCAAUAGAAAACCAAUACGCUGGUGCUUCUUUUUUAAUGGGCAGCAGAAGUGAAGACACUCAUCACAUAGAUCCCACCCUCUACCAGGGAGAGUCGUUGGCUCCUACCCUCUUAGCCUUCUUCUCUGUGAUUGCUGAAGUACAGUGGACAGGACUUGGACUCUAACAGACCCUACAGCUCCCAUGGGGAGCCAAGAGGUGGGAGCCCCCGCAGGAGGGGGUAUUUCCUUGGUUCAGAUGACUCAGCAUUG